GUGCCAGCCUCCUCGGUCCCCCGUAGGUCCCGAGCGUUGUUCGGAUUCACUGGGUGUAAAGGGCGCGUAGGUGGUUGUCUGUGUCUCACGUGAAAACUCAGGGCUCAACUCUGAGAUUGCGUGGGAAACUAGGCAGCUAGAGGACGGUAGAGGGGAGUGGAAUUCCCGGUGUAGCGGUAAAAUGCGUAGAUACCGGGAGGAACACCGGUGGCGAAGGCGGCUCUCUGGGCCGAUCCUGACGCUGAGGCGCGAAAGCUAGGGUAGCGAACCGGAUUAGAUACCCGGGUAGUCCUAGCCGUAAACGAUGGGUGCUAGGUGUUGGGGGGUAAAGACCCUUCAGUGCCGCAGCUAACGCGAUAAGCAUCCCACCUGGGGAGUACGGCCGCAAGGUUGAAACUCAAAGGAAUUGGCGG
rnacentral:rRNA from 1 species